GCAGGAUGGCCACCCAGUAAUCAGCACAAGUUAGAAUGUGAGCAACUCGGCAGUCGUUGCACAGGCACUUUGGUGACUCUAGAUAAUCUUGGGCCGAUCGCACGUCGGCGACGACGCAUUCGGAUGUCUGCCCUAUAAACUUUAAUGGUACUUUCUGUGCCUACCAUGGUGACCAUGGGUAAUGGGGAAUCAGGGUUCGAUUCCGGAGAGGGAGCCUGAGAAACGGAAGGCAGCAGGCGCGCAAAUUACCCACUCCCGACUCGGGGAGGUAGUGAC